rnacentral:rRNA from 1 species
GACGAACGCUGGCGGCGUGCUUAACACAUGCAAGUCGAACGGAAAGGCCCUGCUUUUGUUGGGUGCUCGAGUGGCGAACGGGUGAGUAACACGUGAGUAACCGUCCCUUGACUUUGUGAUAACUUCAGGAAACUGGGGCUAAUACCGGAUAGGAGCUCCUGCUGUAUGGUGUUGGUUGGAAAUUUUCGGCUGUUGGGGAUGGACUCGCGGGUUAUCAGCUUGUUGGUGGGGUAGUUGCUUCCCAAGGCUUUGACGGGUAGCCGGCCUGAGAGGGUGACCGGCCACCUUGGGACUGAGGUAGGGCCCAGACUGCUACGGGCGGCAGCAGUGGGGAAUCUUGCAGAAUGGGGGCAAGCCUGAUGCAGAAACGCCGCGUGCGGAAUGACGGGCUUCGGGUUGUAAACCGGUUUCAGAAGGGAAGGAGCUUUUUGUGACGGUACCUGCAGAAGAAGCACCGGCUAACUACGUG